rnacentral:piRNA from 1 species
UCAGAACUUCAAACUCGUUAG